rnacentral:misc_RNA from 1 species
UUUCCGUAGGUGAACCUGCGGAAGGAUCAUUAUUUAAUAAACUUGGUAGAGGUUGUUGCUGGUUCUUCGGAGCGAUUGCACGCCUUUCCAUUUUUACUACUUCACCUUUGCACCUUUUGUAGUCUUUUUAAAUUGGAGUGCAAAUACUCGAGGGACCUCGGAUAGAGGAUCUGCUUUGCGCAAUGUCCGCUUUCCUUGUCAAUUGUCUUUCAAUUUUUAAAGCUCUACGUUUUCAUAUACCCCAAAUGUAUGUUAAGAAUGUGAUCAAUGGGCUUUGUUGCCUAUAAAACAAAUACAACUCUCAGCAACGGAUAUCUUGGCUCUU